GAUGAACGCUGGCGGCGUGCCUAAUACAUGCGAGUCGAGCGAACAGACGAGGAGCUUGCUCCUCUGACGUUAGCGGCGGACGGGUGAGUAACACGUGGAUAACCUACCUAUAAGACUGGGAUAACUUCGGGAAACCGGAGAUAAUACCGGAUAAUAUAUUGAACCGCAUGGUUCAAUAGUGAAAGACGGUUUUGCUGUCCCUUAUAGAUGGAUCCGAGCCGCAUUAGCUAGUUGGUAAGGUAACGGCUUACCAAGGCAACGAUGCGUAGCCGACCUGAGAGGGUGAUCAGCCACACUGGAACUGAGACACGGUCCAGACUCCUACGGGAGGCAGCAGUAGGGAAUCUUCCGCAAUGGGCGAAAGCUUGACGGAGCAACGCCGCGUGAGUGAUGAAGGUCUUCGGAUCGUAAAACUCUGUUAUUAGGGAAGAACAAAUGUGUAAGUAACUAUGCACGUCUUGACGGUACCUAAUCAGAAAGCCACGGCUAACUACGUG
rnacentral:rRNA from 1 species